rnacentral:rRNA from 1 species
GACGAACGCUGGCGGCGUGCCUAAUACAUGCAAGUAGAACGCUGAAACUUGGUGCUUGCACCGAGCGGAUGAGUUGCGAACGGGUGAGUAACGCGUAGGUAACCUGCCUGGUAGCGGGGGAUAACUAUUGGAAACGAUAGCUAAUACCGCAUAAGAGUAGAUGUUGCAUGACAUUUGCUUAAAAGGUGCAAUUGCACCACUACCAGAUGGACCUGCGUUGUAUUAGCUAGUUGGUGGGGUAACGGCUCACCAAGGCGACGAUACAUAGCCGAGCUGAGAGGGUGAUCGGCCACACUGGGACUGAGACACGGCCCAGACUCCUACGGGAGGCAGCAGUAGGGAAUCUUCGGCAAUGGACGGAAGUCUGACCGAGCAACGCCGCGUGAGUGAAGAAGGUUUUCGGAUCGUAAAGCUCUGUUGUAAGAGAAGAACGAGUGUGAGAGUGGAAAGUUCACACUGUGACGGUAUCUUACCAGAAAGGGACGGCUAACUACGUG